ACAAAUAUAAUAAAGAUAUCACGUUGAACUGAAUUUAUAACGUUGAAUAUUUCAGAUAAAAUGCGGAAUCGCCGAACAACCAAAACUACUCGUCGAACCCUGACAGUGGAGGAGGAGGAUAGGUUGAAGGAGGUCCCCCUACUCCUCCAGGACCUAAAGGGACAGGUUCUGUCCAUCCUGAGUUCGUGUGAGGAUAAUACGAAAUUGGCCUGUAAAAGUAUAAAAACUAAUCACAAAACAACCUUGAACAAACUAGAUUUUGCUACUCGGUCAUUAUUUGUGGAAUCUUCGGUUUUUGCACAGAAGAGCGAGAAGAAUGAAGAUGUGAGUGCACAGUGCGCCGAUAUUGACGAAUAUCUAUCGGACGUAAAAUCAACUGUAAAAACUACAUCACGAGUUCGUCGAGUUGCUGGAGGAUCGACCGUACGUAAAUCUUCACGGAAAAGGGUCGCUGAAACACCGCUCAGUUCGGGAUCGGCUGUAAGCAUGGUUACUCCCAGUAACAAGAUGUUGCCUACGAAUAUUGGAAGGACUCCAAUGAUCACACCGAAGUUCGACACGAGGACACCACUGACUCGAACCCUGCACCGUCAGGCGAAACCAAACGAGACUUUGGUAUCGUUAAGCGGAAGUCCUGUCAUGGCGACCGCUACCGUUAAGAAAGUAGGACGUGGAAAGGCUAAACAGUCAGAAGCUGACAGUUUUGCUCAGAUUCCACUGGGAAAGAACUAUACGUUAAGUAUGCCAAUUUCUGCGGAUUUCCAGACUGACGGGUUGGAACUGGAUGAUGAUCAGAUAAACAAGCUUGCUCUCAUUCAGCAGGGUCUAACCAACAUGCUCCGGGGUAGAAUAGCAUCCUCAGAAUCAGAGUAGGAUACAAUCCUCGAGCUUGGUUUUAUCUUCGCCGUUUACCAUAUAAUUAUAUUUACUUAGAGAGGCCAUUUGAAAUUUUGCUUACAGUCGGUUUAAAGAAAACAAAUACGCUUAUACGCUCAUCUUUAUUUUGAUUUAAAGAUCUCCUAAAAUGCUAGUGAAACAAGUUGACUUAUAAUUAAUUAGUGGUUGUAUUUUAAUACAAAGAUGUCGAGUUUCAGUUGGUCUUUUUUUGACAUUACAAAAUUCUUAAAAUUCACUGACUUUAUAUUUUGAAAUUAGUUUCUUUUUUACCUAACAUACUUCAGAUACUGAUGUACUUGAUUUAUUAAAUGUAAAAUAUUACAAUAUGACAUGUAAAUGUAAAGUUGAAUAAUA
rnacentral:misc_RNA from 1 species